rnacentral:rRNA from 1 species
AUUGAACGCUGGCGGCAGGCCUAACACAUGCAAGUCGAGCGGAUGACGGGAGCUUGCUCCUUGAUUCAGCGGCGGACGGGUGAGUAAUGCCUAGGAAUCUGCCUGGUAGUGGGGGACAACGUUUCGAAAGGAACGCUAAUACCGCAUACGUCCUACGGGAGAAAGCAGGGGACCUUCGGGCCUUGCGCUAUCAGAUGAGCCUAGGUCGGAUUAGCUAGUUGGUGAGGUAAUGGCUCACCAAGGCGACGAUCCGUAACUGGUCUGAGAGGAUGAGCAGUCACACUGGAACUGAGACACGGUCCAGGCUCCUACGGGAGGCAGCAGUGGGGAAUAUUGGACAAUGGGCGAAAGCCUGAUCCAGCCAUGCCGCGUGUGUGAAGAAGGUCUUCGGAUUGUAAAGCACUUUAAGUUGGGAGGAAGGGCAGUAAGUUAAUACCUUGCUGCUUUGACGUUACCGACAGAAUAAGCACCGGCUAACUCUGUGCCAGCCGCCGCAGUAA